UACGAAGGGGGCGAGCGUUGUUCGGAUUUACUGGGCGUAAAGGGCGCGCAGGCGGUCUUGAAAGUCAGGCGUGAAAGCCCCGGGCUCAACCCGGGAAGUGCACUCGAUACUGCCACGCUAGAGUAUCGGAGAGGUUGGUGGAAUUCUCGGUGUAGAGGUGAAAUUCGUAGAUAUCGAGAGGAACACCGGUGGCGAAGGCGGCCAACUGGACGAAUACUGACGCUGAGACUCGAAAGCGUGGGGAGCAAACAGG
rnacentral:rRNA from 1 species